GCUCAGAUUGAACGCUGGCGGCAGGCCUAACACAUGCAAGUCGAACGGUAACAGGAAGCAGCUUGCUGCUUCGCUGACGAGUGGCGGACGGGUGAGUAAUGUCUGGGAAACUGCCUGAUGGAGGGGGAUAACUACUGGAAACGGUAGCUAAUACCGCAUAACGUCGCAAGACCAAAGAGGGGGACCUUCGGGCCUCUUGCCAUCGGAUGUGCCCAGAUGGGAUUAGCUUGUUGGUGGGGUAACGGCUCACCAAGGCGACGAUCCCUAGCUGGUCUGAGAGGAUGACCAGCCACACUGGAACUGAGACACGGUCCAGACUCCUACGGGAGGCAGCAGUGGGGAAUAUUGCACAAUGGGCGCAAGCCUGAUGCAGCCAUGCCGCGUGUAUGAAGAAGGCCUUCGGGUUGUAAAGUACUUUCAGCGGGGAGGAAGGGAGUAAAGUUAAUACCUUUGCUCAUUGACGUUACCCGCAGAAGAAGCACCGGCUAACUCCGUGCCAGCAGCCGCGGUAAUACGGAGGGUGCAAGCGUUAAUCGGAAUUACUGGGCGUAAAGCGCACGCAGGCGGUUUGUUAAGUCAGAUGUGAAAUCCCCGGGCUCAACCUGGGAACUGCAUCUGAUACUGGCAAGCUUGAGUCUCGUAGAGGGGGGUAGAAUUCCAGGUGUAGCGGUGAAAUGCGUAGAGAUCUGGAGGAAUACCGGUGGCGAAGGCGGCCCCCUG
rnacentral:rRNA from 1 species